AGCGGCGGACGGCUGAGUAACACGUACGGACUUACCCCCAUCACGGUGAUAACUUACCGAAAGGUGAGCUAAUACCCGAUGGUCCCCGCCUUUGGCGGGGUAAAGGGAGUAACUUCCCGGAUGGGGAGAGACGUGCGGACUAUCAGGUAGUUGGUAGGGUAACGGCUUACCAAGCCUAUGACGGUUAGCUGGUCUUAUGAGGAUGGUCAGCCAGAGGAGCACUGAGACACGGGCUCCACGUCUACGGACGGCAGCAAUUAGGAAUAGUUGGCAAUGGGCGAAAGCCUGACCACGCAACACCGCGUGCGGGAAGAAGCUCCUCGGAGUGUAAACCGCUGUGGUAAGGGAGGAAGCCCCGCCUUUGGCGGGGUUGACAGUACCUUACUAGAAAGUGAUCGCUAACUGCGUGCCAGCAGCGGCGGUAACACGUGGAUCACAAGCGUUAUCCGAUGUUAUUGGGCGUAAAGCGUGUUCUAGGUGUCUUUAUAAGUUUUUACUCAAAAACUAAAGCUUAACUUUAGGAUGGGUAAAAAUACUGUAAAGAUUGAGUUUUCUUUAAAGGAACCCGGAAUUUGUGGAGAAGUAGUGAAAUGCGUUGAUACCACAAAGAACACCAGUGGCGAAAGCGGGUUUCUAAAAGGAAACUGACACUAAAACACGAAAGCUAGGGGAGCGAACCGGAUUAGAGACCCGGGUAGUCCUAGCUGUAACGAUGCUUGCUAGCU
rnacentral:rRNA from 1 species